rnacentral:rRNA from 1 species
GACGACGAGGCACUACGGUGCUGAAGCAACAAAUGCCCUGCUUCCAGGAAAAGCCUCUAAGCAUCAGGUAACACGAAAUCGUACCCCAAACCGACACAGGUGGUCAGGUAGAGAAUACCAAGGCGCUUGAGAGAACUCGGGUGAAGGAACUAGGCAAAAUGGUGCCGUAACUUCGGGAGAAGGCACGCUGACACGUAGGUGAAGUGAUUUACUCAUGGAGCUGAAGUCAGUCGAAGAUACCAGCUGGCUGCAACUGUUUAUUAAAAACACAGCACUGUGCAAACACGAAAGUGGACGUAUACGGUGUGACGCCUGCCCGGUGCCGGAAGGUUAAUUGAUGGGGUCAGCGUAAGCGAAGCUCCUGAUCGAAGCCCCGGUAAACGGCGGCCGUAACUAUAACGGUCCUAAGGUAGCGAAAUUCCUUGUCGGGUAAGUUCCGACCUGCACGAAUGGCGUAAUGAUGGCCAGGCUGUCUCCACCCGAGACUCAGUGAAAUUGAACUCGCUGUGAAGAUGCAGUGUACCCGCGGCAAGACGGAAAGACCCCGUGAACCUUUACUAUAGCUUGACACUGAACAUUGAGCCUUGAUGUGUAGGAUAGGUGGGAGGCUUUGAAGUGUGGACGCCAGUCUGCAUGGAGCCGACCUUGAAAUACCACCCUUUAAUGUUUGAUGUUCUAACGUGGACCCGUAAUCCGGGUUGCGGACAGUGUCUGGUGGGUAGUUUGACUGGGGCGGUCUCCUCCUAAAGAGUAACGGAGGAGCACGAAGGUUGGCUAAUCCUGGUCGGACAUCAGGAGGUUAGUGCAAUGGCAUAAGCCAGCUUGACUGCGAGCGUGACGGCGCGAGCAGGUGCGAAAGCAGGUCAUAGUGAUCCGGUGGUUCUGAAUGGAAGGGCCAUCGCUCAACGGAUAAAAGGUACUCCGGGGAUAACAGGCUGAUACCGCCCAAGAGUUCAUAUCGACGGCGGUGUUUGGCACCUCGAUGUCGGCUCAUCACAUCCUGGGGCUGAAGUAGGUCCCAAGGGUAUGGCUGUUCGCCAUUUAAAGUGGUACGCGAGCUGGGUUUAGAACGUCGUGAGACAGUUCGGUCCCUAUCUGCCGUGGGCGCUGGAGAACUGAGGGGGGCUGCUCCUAGUACGAGAGGACCGGAGUGGACGCAUCACUGGUGUUCGGGUUGUCAUGCCAAUGGCACUGCCCGGUAGCUAAAUGCGGAAGAGAUAAGUGCUGAAAGCAUCUAAGCACGAAACUUGCCCCGA